GGCCUUGUGGCCCAAUGGAUAAGGCGCCUGACUACGUAUCAGGAGAUUCCAGGUUCGAGUCCUGGCAGGGUCG
rfam:Nematostella vectensis strain CH2 x CH6 NEMVEscaffold_25_Cont4530, whole genome shotgun sequence.